GGAGAGGUGUCCGAGCGGCUGAAGGAGCAUGAUUGGAAAUCAUGUGUACGGGAAACUGUACCGAGGGUUCAAAUCCCUCUCUCUCCG
rnacentral:tRNA from 1 species